UGCUACCAGUCCUGAUGCUGCAGGGGAAUGAUGCUCAGCUCCUUGGUAAAGCGCUCUAGAUCUACGGAUGAAACGUGCUAGGGCAGAAGAUGGGGCUUUAGCUCCAGGGCCAGACACAGCCGAUCCCACCAGGGCUCCAUCUUCUUCCAACCACCAUGCAGACACCCGGGAUCCAGCCUGCAACUGAGCCAGAGGGAUCCGAGCUGCCCUCUGAAAACCAGGUUUCCCCAUCUGUAAUCCAGGAAGACGUCUCAUGCCUCUUUGCAAAGCCAGAUGAGUGAUGGCAGACAGGCACUGGGGUCAGGGUGGCACCAACCCAUCUCCUGAGGGGGCUGACCUUGGAUGGGAGGCACCAGCAUUUCCACCCCUCAUUCCUCCUAUUCUACAGAGCUCAUCACAACCCAGGGCAGGAACCAGCUCCUUCCCCCACCCCCUGCAUAGCUUUCCAGGCUGUAUCCAAGCACGGGCUGGGACAUCUCUGUAUGGGAAUCCCUCCUGCCAAAGGGCCUGCCCCACGGCAGCAGGAUCCAGCCUGGGAGAGGUCCCUAC